rnacentral:rRNA from 1 species
CUUGCUUCUCUUGAGAGCGGCGGACGGGUGAGUAAUGCCUAGGAAUCUGCCUGGUAGUGGGGGAUAACGUCCGGAAACGGACGCUAAUACCGCAUACGUCCUACGGGAGAAAGCAGGGGACCUUCGGGCCUUGCGCUAUCAGAUGAGCCUAGGUCGGAUUAGCUAGUUGGUGGGGUAAUGGCUCACCAAGGCGACGAUCCGUAACUGGUCUGAGAGGAUGAUCAGUCACACUGGAACUGAGACACGGUCCAGACUCCUACGGGAGGCAGCAGUGGGGAAUAUUGGACAAUGGGCGAAAGCCUGAUCCAGCCAUGCCGCGUGUGUGAAGAAGGUCUUCGGAUUGUAAAGCACUUUAAGUUGGGAGGAAGGGCAGUAAAUUAAUACUUUGCUGUUUUGACGUUACCGACAGAAUAAGCACCGGCUAACUCUGUGCCAGCAGCCGCGGUAAUACAGAGGGUGCAAGCGUUAAUCGGAAUUACUGGGCGUAAAGCGCGCGUAGGUGGUUCGUUAAGUUGGAUGUGAAAUCCCCGGGCUCAACCUGGGAACUGCAUUCAAAACUGACGAGCUAGAGUAUGGUAGAGGGUGGUGGAAUUUCCUGUGUAGCGGUGAAAUGCGUAGAUAUAGGAAGGAACACCAGUGGCGAAGGCGACCACCUGGACUGAUACUGACACUGAGGUGCGAAAGCGUGGGGAGCAAACAGG